AUUGAACGCUGGCGGCAUGCUUUACACAUGCAAGUCGAACGGUAACAGGUUAAGCUGACGAGUGGCGAACGGGUGAGUAAUGCAUCGGAACGUGCCCGGUCGUGGGGGAUAACGCAGCGAAAGCUGCGCUAAUACCGCAUACGAUCUGAGGAUGAAAGCGGGGGACCGUAAGGCCUCGCGCGAUCGGAGCGGCCGAUGUCAGAUUAGGUAGUUGGUGGGGUAAAGGCUCACCAAGCCAACGAUCUGUAGCUGGUCUGAGAGGACGACUAGCCACAAGGGGACUGGGACACGGCCCAGACUCCUACGGGAGGCAGCAGUGGGGAAUUGUGGACAAUGGGCGAAAGCCUGAUCCAGCAAUGCCGCGUGCAGGAAGAAGGCCUUCGGGUUGUAAACUGCUUUUGUACGGAGCGAAAAGGUCUCCUCUAAUACAGGGGGCUCAUGACGGUACCGUAAGAAUAAGCACCGGCUAACUGCGUGCCAGCCGCCGCUGUAA
rnacentral:rRNA from 1 species